GCCUGAAGCAGCGUUCUGUCUUCUAGCAACUCUGCUCAGGAGGGCUGCUUUACCUUAGCCGUCCCAGCAGCAGCAUGAAAGUCCACUCAAGCUCAAAUCAUGGAACCAGCUGGUCAUGGCCAGAAACUUCGGAGGUCGUGAGCCAGAAUGACCUUUCCCCUUUAGGUCGGUGUUUCAAGGAUUUGAUUUCAGGAAUGAAACAUCAAGUAAAUCAAACCUAGAAUGUCUGCAGGU
rnacentral:lncRNA from 1 species